GUAGAGCUCUUGUACCCCUUGCGGGAGGUCGGGAGUUCGACUCCCCACGUGUGCGUGUGUAAUCGAUUAGCAAAAAAAAAAAAAAAAAAAAAAGAUUUUCUAUAUCCCUUUUAUUUCUCAUAAUAUUUCUCAUAAUCUCGCACACAGAGUCAACAUCUCCAUCUCUUGCUCUCUGUCUCAAAAUAUCACAGACCAAAACACCUAUGGCAUCGGCAGACGUCACCGACGGCCCCCCUCCCUGUGAGUCAAACUCUUCUCUCUCAGCUCCCUUUGCUCUUCCUCCGCCCUUAACACUCACCAAAACGACAUGGUCAUCCCCAAAAUCGACCGUGCCGUUUUCACCGAAUUCGGCCCUGCUGAGAUUUUAGCUUCUAGAGCUAGGGUUUGAGAUGGGUAUAGCCUCAGAUCGUUUUCAGAGAGAAAUUUAUAGGCGGCCCAGGUGCGCGCACAACCUGUCCGAUGUUUUGUCUCCGAGAAUCAGGGUUUCAAUUGGGGCGUUUUCAGAAUUAGGGUUUUACUCCGCUUUUCUCUGGUAUGACUUCGAAUUUUGGGUUUCCGUUGGUCGAUUUCCAUGUUUUUGUAAGUUAUGUGGGUUCGAUUUUGAUGUUUUUACAAUGAGGGUUUGGUAUGUUUUAUACGGGUUUAAUGUUUAUGUUUCAAUUGGUUGGUUUCUUAUUUUUCGUAUUUGUCGAAUUGCUAUUUUUUUGGGUUUUGUAUUUGCCGAUUGUGUGUCAGAAUCAAUGUUUAUCAUAUGUCCUAUGUCCAUUGAAAAUAAGUUUUUAAGGAGAAAAAUUAAAAUUUUAUCUUAUACCCAGAGCUUUUGUAUAUCGAAGUUUGCUUUUCCUUUGAAGAUCAGGAGUUGAAAGGAAACUGUUUAUAUGUAGUCUGUAUUAUUUUAUUGAGUAGGUACUGUUAUAAAAUACUUGAGAACUACCCUCCGGCAUCAGCAGCGCCUUUGCUAUGUGCUGGUAUAACUGUUUACACUCCCAUGGUUCGCCAUAACAUGAAUAAGCCUGGUACUACUUUGACAAACUCUGCUAGUAUGUUUUGUUUUUUCAGAGGUUUGGAUUUGGGUAUUUUGUGUAAUUUUGGGGCCAAGAAUUGUGUUGAAUACAAUUUUUUUGGGCUUUUUUUAUGGUCUGUCGUGUGGCAGAUACUGUUUAGUUAGUGGUUAGCAUAUUCAUGAUGUAUUGGCUAAUAGUCAUCAUAUUUACUUCAGUUUUAUGUGAUAUCUUGUUUAUUAAUUUUCAUUGUGUUAUUAGUCGUGCAUUUUCAACUUUUUUGGUUAGCUCAGGUGAUAUGGUCACGAAUUUGACUAGCUAGUUGAAUUUUGAUGAUGGGUGGUUGUGGAUUUCACCGCUUCAUGGUGUGGACCUUGCCAUUUCAUUGCCCCAGUUCUGGCAGAGUUUGCUAAAAAGAUGCCUCAUGUCAUCUUUCUUAAAGUCGAUGUUGAUGAACUUGAGGCUGUUUCCAAGGAAUAUGAAGUGGAAGCCAUGCCAACCUUUGUGCUCAUAAAAGAAGGGCAAAUUCUGGACAGGGUUGAUGGUGCAAAGAAAGAUGAGUUGCAGAUCACCAUCAUCAAGCAUGCUGGUGCUUGGGUUGGAACGAGUUGUAAACUUGGAAGUAACUUUCAUUUAGCCAUGGAUUACACUAGUUUCCUAGUGGCGUAGGGAGUAAUGCGUUUCUGUGCUUGUGAGUGUGUGUCUGAAUCCUGUUCUAAUGUUGUUGUUUGUUGAUAAAGAUUUAUCUAUUAUUAAUAUUUUGUGUUUAUUAAUUUAUAUUUUGUUCCCA